GCUAAUUGCCAAAAACCACCUAUAAACUUGGGAAAAUCGACCAAAUAUUCACAACAAACACCCUCGUGGACCUUGGAGGAAAGGACCCGAACGCUUGCAGAAUAUUUUGGAACUUGAAACUGACGCGAUCAACACGGGUGCAGGGCGAAGCGGACCAAACCCUAACUUGAGAGCUGAAUGUUAGAAGAGACCUGGCUAGGUUUUUUGUGGGAUCGUUGGAUAUGGAAUUCUUCCUGACGAGGAAGAUGGCGAGCCUUUUCCCUUGAACCGAACCAGAGCCAUUCCAAGUUGGCCGUGAGAGAACUGGAGUUCUCCCACUACAAACUGUUACAACUGUGCGGUAGGACAAAUCGCACCUCUCUCAGACUUUUGACUAUUGGAUCUUACUUGACUUGACUAUUGAGCCGGCAGGACUUUACCGUAUCUGAGCUCAGAUAGGACACUGGGGUAUUAAUUGUAUUUUUAUUUCAUUUCUGUAUUCUUACAUUUGAAUGUGCACUGUUCUUUUCCAAGUGUUCAAUACAAUUUCAAUUGAGUGCAACUUUA